rfam:Danio rerio chromosome 7 genomic contig CTG724, GRCz11 reference primary assembly.
AGACAUAGCCUCAUCACCCUGCAGCCCAAGACCGGUUACUCACUAAAGCUAAGCAGGGCUGAACCUGGUCAGUACCUGGAUGAGAGACCACAUAGGAAAACUAGGUUGCUGUUGGAA